AGGAGCCGGAUGAGAAGAAACUUUCAUGUCCGGUUCUGGAUUAGAUAUGGGAUCAAAAUACUAUUAACCAUUGACUAUAACACAAAAAGAACAAAAUUUCGUAAACAACAUAGGGGAAGAAUGAAAGGAGUAUCUUACCACGAC
rnacentral:ncRNA from 1 species